rnacentral:tRNA from 1 species
UAAUGAAAUCUUCUGAAAGUGGAAAUUUUUUAGCCAGUGGUUCUCAGGAUAAAUUUUUAGUGAUUUGGGA